CUGUUAAUCAGCACGGACAGAGGUUAGAACAGCUCAAUACGAGAGAUGGUCGAGCUUUGAUCCGAACAGCCAUGCAGAACAUUCCGGCCAAAGCAUCAGAAAGUGUGCUGUCAGGCCUUUUGGAUUUAAAUUAAACCCUGUUAACCCAGAGAGGAAGGAGAAGGAAGACGGAGAGCAGAAGUCAGGGAUGUGCCAUUUUCUCUGACGUUCAGAGUGGACGACCAUUAACAAUUUGUGUGCACAGCAGAAAGAAAUAAGUGCCUGCUGACAGAUGGAUCAAUCCUGCGUUUCAGUGGCAGAGCUGCAGAAUAGAUGAUCGUGGUUCCCACAGUUGGCAAACGGCAGAGAUUUGCUCCACUCCGUUCAGCCGCACACAGGGAAGCACCAUUAGCCGCGAUAGACGCCCUCCCUGCGCGAGAAAUGAGCAAUUGACCCCGGCUGCUACUCUCAAACUGGCGCCUUAUCAGAACCUGGGGGAACGUGUUGUCAUCUGAAUGAGAUAAGUUUAUUUUCUUCCGUCCGGCAUUUGUUCCGAUAUGCGGGGAGUCUGAACGGGGAGAGGAAGAGCAGCGGGGAACCCGUCACCGACACACGCUGCGAAAAACAAGACACGGCCGUGAAACGUUUGGCCAUCACCCAAAUCUCUGCCUCCACCUUCUGCGCGGGCUCCCAGCCUCGGAGAGAAACAGGAGGCGGCAAUAUUGUGGAACAAAUUUCCGCUAAUGUGAACCUGCUGGUGGGGACUCAAGGGAGGAAGGUGGACUCACAUGACUAUUCG